CCUAAAAAUAACGGCAGGGAACUAGGUCGCGGCCGCGGGGAGGCGGCCCCGCAGCGGCUGCCUGACUAGGGGUCUGGGAUGACCCCCGGAGGGAAGAUGAGGAGGACUGAGGCGGCAGGAGGGGGAUGCGCCAUGGAAUAUGGGGCUCCGGGGAGCCUGUCUACCGAGCUGGAGAGGCCAGGCCUGGAGGAAGGGAAUCCGACCCUUUCCCAUAUCGCUGUUUGAGAGGUUGGAGCUGGAGGGGGGGGGGCGGGUGGAGCCCAGCCUGUCAGUGAAGCACUGUGCUGCCUCCCCCACCUCGGGGGUCUCAGGCUUCAGAGGUACAGACCUAGGGUGGCCUCUUGGCUUGCACCUGAAGGAGCACCCAGAGGACCUUCAGAAAAAGACUGCCGUAUCUGCAGAGAUUCCAGGACUGCAGGGAUUUCAGAACGUUGGACAGCGCCCACGACACUAGCGGCUUGAUGCAAAUUUUUCCAAGGCUUCAGAUUGGGUCAACCUUGGAAGAUGGGGAAACUGAAGAAUGAGUUCUGAAUCUGAAAGAAGGAAGUGGACACCUCAACCCUUCUAGAUCAUCAAAACGUCAAAAACUCUUUACCAUUUUUUUUAAGACAAGGUCAUACUAUGUAACCCAGGCUGGCAUCAGAGUCACAAUCCUGCCAUGUUGGGCUGCAACUGUGGAGAUUACAGGUGUGUGUCGACAUGCCCUGAAUCACUGUGAACAUGUUCAUGGCUGGAAGGCCCUUUUCUGUCAGCUCCUCUAUGCAGCAGAUUAAACAAAGGCCUACAAAGUCUCCCCCAA